GCAGUCUUGGCCGAGUGGUUAAGACUUAAGGCGUCAGAUUUGAAAUCUGAUGGGGUUUCCCCGCGCAGGUUCGAACCCUGCAGGCUGCG